rnacentral:rRNA from 1 species
UACGUAGGGUGCGAGCGUUGUCCGGAAUUAUUGGGCGUAAAGGGCUCGUAGGCGGCUAUUCAAGUCGGGGGUGAAAGCCCGGGGCUCAACCCCGGAACUGCCCUCGAAACUAGAUAGCUAGAAUCUUGGAGAGGCGAGUGGAAUUCCGAGUGUAGAGGUGAAAUUCGUAGAUAUUCGGAAGAACACCAGUGGCGAAGGCGACUCGCUGGACAAGUAUUGACGCUGAGGUGCGAAAGCGUGGGGAGCAAACAGG